AGAGUUUGAUCAUGGCUCAGGAUGAACGCUAGCUACAGGCUUAACACAUGCAAGUCGAGGGGAAACGACAUCGAAAGCUUGCUUUUGAUGGGCGUCGACCGGCGCACGGGUGAGUAACGCGUAUCCAACCUGCCCACCACUUGGGGAUAACCUUGCGAAAGUAAGACUAAUACCCAAUGACGUCUCUAGAAGACAUCUGAAGGAGAUUAAAGAUUUAUCGGUGAUGGAUGGGGAUGCGUCUGAUUAGCUUGUUGGCGGGGUAACGGCCACCGAAGGCGACGAUCAGUAGGGGUUCUGAGAGGAACGGUCCCCCANAUUGGAACUGAGACACGGUCCAAACUCCGUACGGGAGCA
rnacentral:rRNA from 1 species